rnacentral:lncRNA from 1 species
GUAACAACUUCCCUUUCAAGAGUCCAAGACCUCAAUUCUUUGGAGAAAAAUGGAUGAAGGUGCUGGAUAUUAGACCUUCGUCAGACACAUAGACCAGUGGAACAGAAUAGAGAACCCAGAAAUUAGAUCACUCAUCUUCAACCAUCCAAUCUUCGACAAACCUGACAAAAAGCAAUGGGGAAAGGACUCCCUGUUCAAUAAAUGGUGCUGGGAGAAAUGGCUGGCCAUAUUGUGUCUAGAAUUUAUUCCUUCCAGUGGGUUCUUGGUCUCGCUGGCUUCAAGAAUGGAGCCGCAGACCUUUGCAGUGAGUGUUACAGCUCAUAAAGGUGUUGCAGACCCAAAGAGUGAGCAGCAGCAAGAUUUACUGUGAAGAGCGAAAGAACAAAGCUUCCACAGCAUGGAAGGGCACUUUCCGCUGCUGGCUCAGGUGGCCAGCUUUUAUUCCCUUAUUUGGCCCCACCCACAUCCUGCUGACUGGUCCAUUUUACAGAGCCCUGAUUGGUCCAUUUUACAGAGUGCUGAUUGGUGUGUUUACAAUCCUUUAUCUAGACACUGAGCACUGAUUGGUGCGUUUUUACAGAGGGCUGAUCAGUGCGUUUAUUUUCCUUUAGCUAGACACAGAGCGCUGAUUGGUGCGUUUUUACAGAGUGCUGAUUGGUGCAUUGACAAUCCUUUAGCUAGACACAGAGUGCUGAUUGGUGCAUUUUUACAGAGUGCUGAUUGGUGCAUUUACAAUCCUUGAGCUAGACACAGAGCGCUGAUUGCGUUUACAAUCCUCUAGCUAGAUAGAAAAGUUCUCCAAGUCCCCACUUGACCCAGGAAGUCCAGCUGGCUUCACUUCUCAAUAUGUAGAAAAUUGAAACUGGACCCCUUCCUUACACCACAUACAAAUAUUAAAUCAAAAGAGAUUAAAAACCUAAAUGUAAAACUCAAAACUAAGAAAACCUUGAAAGACAGCUGAGGCAAUACCAUUCGGGACAUAGGCCAUGAGCAAAGAUUUCAUGAGAAAAAUGCCAAAGGCAACUGCAAGAAAACAAAAAAUUGACAAAUGGGACCUAACUAAACUGAAGAACUCUGCACAGCAAAAGAAACUGUCUGCAGAGUAAACAGACCACCUACAGAAUGGGAGAAAAUGUUUGCACUGAUUUACUUUCACAAAGUCAGUUUGUGAAAGAAAAAGAGAACAAGUGGAAUUUGAAAGGCAAUGGCUAAUUUCUUAUGCAUCAGUGAAGACAUUGGAAUCCAAUAGAGUUGAGUGCAAAGCCCACCCUGCCCCAAUUCUGUGCCUAUAAAGACCUCAGGCUCAGCCAGCAGAGAGGAAAAGUGGCUGGAUGUUGAGAGAGGCAGUUUGACUCCAGAGAUGGCAGCUGGAUGUCGGAAAGCAGCAACUUGACUUCACAAGAGAGAGGCAGAGGUGACUUAAUAUCAGAGGAGAGCAACCUGCCCUUCCCAUCCCCUUUCCAUCUCCCCUCUUGCUGAGAGCCGCUCUCGUCACGCAAUAAAAUUCACCACAUUCACCAUCCUUCAAUUUAUAUUUGCGACCUCAUUCCUCUUGGGCACCGGACAAGAAUUUGGGAUGCACCAAGUGUGGACACCCACAAAGGCUGUCACAGUGGCCCUUUGCCAUUGCCAGCAGAGGGCAGCUGCCCCAUGCAAUAAGCCAAAGGGCUGGCUGAGCUGAUAACACACUGCUUUCUGUGGACGGCGGCGGAGCUAAAAGAGUAUUGUAACAUGCCCUCUGGGGCCUUGGGGAACCCCACCUGGAUCCUGCCAAGAGGCCUGCAUGAAGUUUGCUCCUGCCAGCACUAAAGCAGCCAGUUUUUUCCUGCACUCACUCACCUGCACACUUCCUCCUGCGAUGGGUGGGACACAGUCAACCUGAGUGAGCAGAGUUUGCUCAUGCAGGCACCUAAAUUGCUGGCAAGUUCCUGAGCUCAUUCGCUUCAAUUCCCGUACUCAUUUGCAUGGGUGCUCCCUCCCACAAGGGGUUGAACAGGACAGGUUGAGUAAAUGGUGCACCCCUCUUUUGAGUCCCACCAAGGGUCAAGAAAAUAUCCUGCAUCACUUUGUCAACUUAUGCCACUUAAAGGACAUGCUGCCUACUUUAGACUUAUUUACAAGUUUGCAUAAUUUUUAGACAUAGACAACGCCGUUUAUCUCUGCAAUUACUAUCAAUUCUAACCUAGGAAGCACCAAGUUAAUGGCAAUAAAAAAAAAAAGAAUAAACAACUGUUUCCAGCAACAAGGUGACUGUACCAGUAAUUAAUUUAUUGCCUUCCAGAGGCAAAUUCACUAUUGCCUGUUCUGAGAAAAAGAAUCUGGGCCCUUCAAAUAGCUGCCAGAAUGUAAAAACUUGCCAGCAGAUGGUGGUGGAGAGAUGCUGGAGGUGGAAGGGAUUUCAUCCCAGGUCUGGUAUGCUCCCUCAUCAGGCUCUCACAGUGGAACACACCUUCUCCAACACCUGGCUCCUGUUCAGCAGCACCCAGAGACCAUCAGCUUCCUUUUGCACUCCUUUCAGAUAAUUUAGCAGUUGAGUCUCUCUGGAAAAAUCAAUAGCUUUCCAUGACACCCCAGAGGAUGAAUCUCCUGCCUGCCCAAAAGGCAUAUUUUCAGCAAUUUCUUCCAGUACAGCCCCACUGCAACUACUCUGCCACCCAGUGAGAGCCACAUUCUCUUUUCUUUUUUUUCUUUUUUUUAAUUUUUGAUUUCCAACUUUUAAGCUCAAGGGAACAUGUUCAGGAUAUAGAGUGUGCAGUUUGGUACAUAGGUAAACAUGUGCCUUGUGGUUUGCUGCACAGAUCAUCCCAUCACCUAGGUAUUAAGCCCAGCAUCCAUUAGCUGUUCUUCCUGAUGCUCUCCCUCCUCCCAUGCCCCACCCUCCAACAGGCCCUAGUCUGUGUUGUUCUCUCCCCGGCAAUUCCUCAAAGACUUAGAGGCAGAAAUACCAUUUGACCCAGCAAUCCCAUUAUUGGGUAUAUACCCAAAGGAAUAUAAAUCAUUCAAUCAGGAACAUAUACGCAUGUGUACGUUCACUGCAGCACUAUUCACAAUAGCAAAGACAUGGAAUCAACCUAAAUGUCCAUCAAUGAUAGACUGGAUAAAGAAAAUAUGGUACAUACACACCAUGGAAUACUAUGCAGUCACAAAAAGGAAUGAGAUCAUGUCUUUUGUAGGGACAUGGAUGGGGCUGGAAGUCAUUAUCCUCAGAAAACUAAUGCAGGAACAGAAAAACCAAACAGUGCAUGUUCUCACUUAUAUGUGGGAGCUGAGUGUUGAGAACACAUGGACACAUGGUAGUGAGCCACAUUCUUACCCUUUCCAAUAAGGCUUGAAUCUCAUCUUGGUAGGGAGGGAGCAGUCUUACUGGAUGCUGUAUUUCAGCACCAGGGAUUGGAGAACACUCCCUCACUUUUGCAUCAGCUAAUCCUGUACUCUAUAAAAUUCUUUUCAUUUAUUACAAUCCUAUUCCUCCAUACACAAAUCUCCUGUUAAAAUUAAUAACUUUUAUAUCAAACUUCCUCUGUUCACAUUACUGUGUUGGUUUCUCCCUCCUGAUUGGAUCACAACUGAUACAAUUGGGUUAAAUACUUUUUCAUAAAAUAAAUUAUUAAAUCCAUUCCUUUAGUGUGUAAGUAUUUAGAGUUUACAAAUUACUGAGAUUUAAUUCUACAAAUUAUACAUAUUUACAAUCUAGGUGAAGGCACUCAAGAGAUAUUUAAACAUUUCCCCUCUAAGACAUCAGUUUAAAGAAAGACAGAAAGAAAGAAAGAAAGAAAGAAAGAAAGAAAGAAAGAAAGAAAGAAAGAAAGAAAGAAAGAAAACCCUUUGCUAGCACAAAACAGUCCCCAAAACCUUACUGUUGGGGUUGAGAAACUGAUACCUCCUAUGGCACUUUGGAAUGCUGAGUACUUUGAAUCAAAGGAGUUGAAAGACCAUAGAAGCAACUUCAGAACCAAUGUCACUCUGACCUCCUGCUCUUCUGUCUCUUACCCUCUUUCUCCUGCAAUAGUGCAAGGAGGGGCUCUCCCUGAACUUUCCUUAUCUGUCUAAAGAUUGGCCCUCUAGAAAGAAUACACUUGUCAUGAGUGUUUUUCCUGGGAAUCUCAUCAGCCAGGGAAAAGUAAAAGUAUCACAGGGGAGGAAACUGAAAGUUGACAACAUGCCCAGGCAGAUUUUAUCACAGACUAUCGCCUCUUUUUCUGAGACUGUUUAUUACCUGAAAGACCUUUUGUUUGCAUAACAAGACAACCUUUGUUCACCCUGCAUUUUCUCCCCUCACUCUCCCAUAACUUGUGUCACCACCAACCCUAGAAUCCCCAGGCCUGUAUUCCUUUCUUCAGCUCAAGAUGUUAUAUAUGUUUCAAUCAUCUGCCCCCUUUUCAAGUCUCAUAUUUUGUGGGACUCCUAUGUGUAUGCAAAUAAUUAAAAUGUUUUUUUCUCCUGUUAGUAAUUAUCAAACCUUCAGAGGAUAAAGAAAGUUUCCUUUCUCUAUAUUAAUAAUCUCUAGUCCCAACAUUCCAUUCCUCAUUCCCCAGCAUUCACACACACAUUUCCAUGCUGCUUUUCAACAAAAAGUUUUAUUUCCUGCAGUGUAGCAAAAUAACAUGAUUCUAAGUUCUCUUUUAUAAAAUCUGUUAGCUAUUAUAAUUCCUUCACUCACUUUCCCCUUUGUAAUAAAUUUUUCCCCAUCCAUUAAAAUAAUAUGGGCUUAGUAGAAUGCUUAAAAAAUAAAGAUCCACAUGAAAAAUUUAAAGUCAUGUAUAAACAUAUAAUUUAGUGAUAAUUAGUGUUAACAUUUUGGCUCAUUUUCUCUUUGCCUUUGUAAAAUUACAUUAGUCUUGGAUUUGUUUCUUUUCCUACCCCUAUCACAAAAGAUGCUCCUCUUCAUCCAUGGUUACUAUUUUAGUGUGCCCUAAAGGAUAUCACAGCUGAUAUGUCAGGCUACAGUUGUAACUUCCCUAAAAUUAUGACCUUCUUCUAUCGUUGAUGUUGUCACCACGUGGUAAUGAAAUCUUAGGAUAUUAUAAAUAGUUUGGUAUUUGAUUCUCAUAUUUAAUAAUGAAUCUAGAGAUUUCAGGGAAGAAAUAAAGUUGAUAUUGUUUGGAUAUUUGUUCCCUUUAAAUGUCAUCUUGAAAUUUGAUCCUCAGUGUUGGAGGUGGAGCUUAGUGAAAGGCAUCUAGGUCAUGCAGCACUCCUAGCACCUCCAAGGUCUGCUUUUUCAAAAGAGUCUGGAGCCUCCCUUUAUUCACUUUUUCCUUCUCUCUCACCGUGUGUUGGUUUCUCUCCUUUCCCUUCUGCCAUGAGUGAAAACUUUCUGAAGCCCUCAUCAGAAGCAGAUGCUGGUACCAUGCUUGCACAGCCUGCACGAGUGUAAGCCAAAUAAACCUCUUUUCUUUAUAAAUUCCUCAGCCUCAUAGUAUUCCUUUACAGCUAUGCAAAUGGACUAAGACAAGAGUUGAUCCCCUUCAACCACACAGAAAAAGACUUCCACUUUGUUGAAUUUGCUUCAUUUACAAACAAAACUCUAAUAAUAAUAGUAUACAGAGAAUUAAAGAAUACAAUUGAUCAUAUGCACUGACUUAGAAAAGGAAUGCACAUGGGAUGGCAAAAUAGAGAAGGCUUCUUGUGAGUGUGUGGGGGAGGCAGGAUAGGGUUAUCUGGGUCUUUAAAAAAACACUUGACUUAAGCAGAGAGGGCUAUGAGAGGGCUUAAUAAAAGUACAGAGGUAGAAAUACAGAAGAGGUAUAAAAAUAACAAAUAGUCUUAUGUGAUUACAACUUGACAUAUGUAAUUUAGCGGAAGCAUUUUCUACUUCUGAAACAAAUUAUGAUUAACACUUCCUGUAAUAGGUUUAUAAUUAUGUAAACCUAUUUAAAUCAAUCAUUUGCACAACAAAAUGAAUGAAUUAAUUUGUUGCAGCUGUGUUUACUGAGGCACACAUGUAAAGCAAUUUUAAAUGCUGUCAAGUAACAAUGAUUUCGUUUCAUGACUCACACUAAGUGAGAAAUUCUGAUUUUUUUAAGACAAAGUUUAAAAAAUCAAAAACUUAAAACUCCUGGAACUAAAAGCAUAGAAGAAAAGCUUCAUGACAUAGGACAUGACAAUGUGUUCUCACAUAUGACACCAAAGCACAGGGAAAGAAAGCAAAAGUAGAAAAGGGACUAUAUCAAACUCAAAAACUUUUGUGCAUUGAAGGACACACCUAACAGCCUGAAAAGGCAACCUAUGGAGUAGGAGAAAAUAUUUGCAAAUCAUAUAUAUCUAUACAUAUAUAUGGAUAUGAUAGUAAAUUGUUAUACAGAAAAUAUAAAAAGAACUUCUAUAACUCAAUAACAAAAAUCAAAUAACUUAUUUUUUUAAAUGGGCUAAGGACUUGAAUAGAUAUUUCUCCAAAAGUAAUACGCAAAUGGACCACAGUCAUAUAAAACAAAUAUUUGACAUCAUAAAUAAUUAGGGAAAUGCAAGUUAAAAUCACAAGAUAUCAUCUUACAUUCACUAGUAUGACUGCUAUCAAAAAAAUGAAACAAAACAGAAAAUAACAAAUGUUAGUGAGAAUGUGGAGAAAUUGGAACCCUAGUACACUGUUGGCGGGAUUGUGCAACCACUAUGCAAAAAUUAUAAAAAAUUAAAAAUAGAACUACCAUAUUACCCAACAAUUCCACAUCUGGGAUUUUAACCAAUACUUUUAACCAAAAGUAUUGAAAGAAGAGUCUCAAAGAGAUAUUUGAACACUCAUGUUUAUAGAAGCACUAUUUAAAACACCAACAAGUAGAAGCAGCCCAAAUAUCCAUUGACAAGUGAAUGGAUGAAGGAAAUGUAGUAUAUACACAUACAAUGGAAUAUUAUUCACCCCUAAAAAGGAAAUCUUGUCACAUACUACAGCAGGGAUAAGCCUGAAUGAUAUGCUAAAUAAAUAAGCCAGUCACAAUAAGACAAAUACUGUAUGAUUCAACUUCUAUAAAAUGGUGAUUACUAGGGACUGAGGUGAAAAAGUUCUAGAUAUAUGUAUUACAACAAGUUGAAUAUACUUAAAACUACUGAAUUGCACUCUUAAAAUGAUUAAAAUGAAGAAAAUACAUGUUUUUAACUACAAUUUAAUUUUUUUUAAAUCACAAAUUUAGUGAUAGGUAUGUGGCUUUAUAGAUGUUUUAAUCCAAACUUCACAUUUUAACAAUAAAAGUACUAGGACCUUAGAAGAUGGGUGACUGGUUUCAGAUUAUCCAGUCAAGAUGAAAAUUUAUGCCUUCCAAAUUACCACAUCUUAGGUGUCUUCAUCUGCUAGCUUAAUCCCAGGUUGUUCCUGGACUAUCUCUACAUCAAGCAGUGAAAGCUUAACUCCCUUCAUGUUUUACGAUGGAUAAAUAUGUGAGGUGAAAAUCAAGAGGCUAGCAUUGACCCAAUGUACAUCAUCUAUCAAGGAGACAAUGUUCGUUUGUUCUUUGAUGAAUCUCUAAGACAACAUUGUCAUGAUUUUGUUUUCAUCACACAUUUGCAUUAGGU